UGAGGAAUAUUGGACAAUGGGUGAGAGCCUGAUCCAGCCAUCCCGCGUGAAGGACGACUGCCCUAUGGGUUGUAAACUUCUUUUAUACUGGGAUAAACCUACCCUCGUGAGGGUAGCUGAAGGUACAGUAUGAAUAAGCACCGGCUAACUCUGUGCCAGCAGCCGCGGUAAUACGGAGGGUGCAAGCGUUAUCCGGAUUUAUUGGGUUUAAAGGGUCCGUAGGCGGGCUCGUAAGUCAGUGGUGAAAUCUCAUAGCUUAACUAUGAAACUGCCAUUGAUACUGCGGGUCUUGAGUAAAGUAGAAGUGGCUGGAAUAAGUAGUGUAGCGGUGAAAAUGCAUAGAUAUUACUUAGAACACCAAAUUGCGAAGGCAGGUCACUAUGUUUUAACUGACGCUGAUGGACGAAAAGCGUGGGGAGCGAACAGGAUUAGAUACCCUGGUAGUCCACGCCGUAAACGAUGCUAACUCGUUUUUGGGUUUUCGGAUUCAGAGACUAAAGCGAAAAGUGAUAAAGUUAGCCACCUGGGGGAGUACGUUCGCAAAGAAAUGAAAACUCAAAAGGAAUUGACGGGGGUCAUAGCUGUUUCCUG
rnacentral:rRNA from 1 species